CUUAACUUGACUGCAGUGCUUCUUUGUUUGUUGUUCAUAAAUAUGAGGGGAUUUUAUUUUGUUACGUGGCAUCUCAGAUGUAGCUUGUGUUGUCAGCAAUAUCAAAAAGGAUUCUUUCCUUUGUUGCUGCUAUGUGUUAUGCUCCUGUUGUGCUACAUUUAGCACAUUGCCAGGGUUAUAUUUUUUGUAUAUUAUUUUUGGUUAUUAUACUGCAAUCCUUGAUAUUGUUUGUGGGAUGUAAAAGUUAUUCACUGUUUUGUUUUUUAGAAGGCUACACCAAAGAAGCCCUCGUUUACUCACACAAGCUGUCAAACAAAACCCCAAAUGUGCUCAGUUGGGACACAGCUUUCAAUGAAAACCUUCCAGCCACAUGUCAAAAGUACAGGCAUACAAGUGGCAUUGAGGAAGAAACGCCAAAAAAGAAACCUCGUUUUGAGCGCACCAGUGGUGGUGAAGACAGAAGAGUAAAGCAGAAGGCACCUCUACAAUGAACAUACCAAUCCCACAGGAUCAAAAAAAUAUAAUCCCGAAGUCUCUACAAGUACUUUGUCAGAGGUGCCUGACCAUGUGUAAGCAAAGCUAUCCCAGCAAGUAUUUUAUGCAAAUACAUGCAGAAAUCAGUUGUCGAUUGUGUAUGUUAAUUUUCCCCCAUAUUUCUGCAAUAGAAUGGACUCUUCAACACCAGCCUACAGAAUAGCUACGUAUGUACUAUAUUGUCUAUGAAAAGUGCCUUUUGGAACAUUUUUUCAAUGUGCCAUUGCAUGACAAGGGCGCGGACCAGAAAAAUUGGAACUUUGGUUUUAUAGAGCAGAAAUGUCUUAACGGUGUUUACGUUAGAUAUUGGAAUAGUCAGCCACUACAUGGAGGAACUCCAGCAGGGAAUUUUCAAACUUUCAGUCGCUGUGUAUUCCAAUGAGGGCUCAUUUUUCAAAGAGGAAAAAGUAACGAAUUUACAAUAAAUGCUUCAAAUUUGUAACUGUG